GUCGCUGCAAAAUCAGCGACCGGGUUUGGUCGCCCGAGUAGAUAAAGGCGCUACAGCGCCCCAUCACGAUUGCAGGCGCUUUUUUU
rnacentral:sRNA from 1 species